rnacentral:rRNA from 1 species
AUUGAACGCUGGCGGCAGGCCUAACACAUGCAAGUCGAGCGGAUGAAGGGAGCUUGCUCCUGGAUUCAGCGGCGGACGGGUGAGUAAUGCCUAGGAAUCUGCCUGGUAGUGGGGGAUAACGUCCGGAAACGGGCGCUAAUACCGCAUACGUCCUGAGGGAGAAAGCGGGGGAUCUUCGGACCUCACGCUAUCAGAUGAGCCUAGGUCGGAUUAGCUAGUUGGUGGGGUAAAGUCCUACCAAGGCGACGAUCCGUAACUGGUCUGAGAGGAUGAUCAGUCACACUGGAACUGAGACACGGUCCAGACUCCUACGGGAGGCAGCAGUGGGGAAUAUUGGACAAUGGGCGAAAGCCUGAUCCAGCCAUGCCGCGUGUGUGAAGAAGGUCUUCGGAUUGUAAAGCACUUUAAGUUGGGAGGAAGGGCAGUAAGUUAAUACCUUGCUGUUUUGACGUUACCAACAGAAUAAGCACCGGCUAACUUCGUG